rnacentral:rRNA from 1 species
GUUUGAUCAUGGCUCAGAUUGAACGCUGGCGGCAGGCUUAACACAUGCAAGUCGAGCGGUAACAGGGGGUGCUUGCACCCCGCUGACGAGCGGCGGACGGGUGAGUAAUGCUUAGGAAUCUGCCCAGUAGUGGGGGAUAGCCCGGGGAAACCCGGAUUAAUACCGCAUACGUCCUACGGGAGAAAGCAGGGGAUCUUCGGACCUUGCGCUAUUGGAUGAGCCUAAGUCGGAUUAGCUAGUUGGUGGGGUAAAGGCCUACCAAGGCGACGAUCCGUAGCUGGUCUGAGAGGAUGAUCAGCCACAUCGGGACUGAGACACGGCCCGAACUCCUACGGGAGGCAGCAGUGG